GGCGAAGUGGCCAAGUGGUAAGGCAGAGGCCUGCAAAGCCUUUACCCCCGGUUCGAAUCCGGCUUCGCCUCCA
rnacentral:tRNA from 1 species